AUGUCCUCUUCAGGCUAUGUCGCGGUUCCUCGGUGCUCGGUGAUCUUCGAUGGCACCAACUAUGCCGAGUUUGUGGGCUUCAUGCGCAUCCAUAUGCGUGGACUCCUUCUGUGGGGAGUUCUUUCUGGCGAGGUCCCCUGCCCGCCAUGCCCUGUUGCGCCAGUGGUCCCAAUCCCACCGGUGCCGCCAGCCCUUGCUGCUGAUGCUUCUCAGGCUGACCGGGAUGCCGCCAAGGCUCUAGAUGAUGCUGCAGUUGAUGCUUAUGAUCAGCAGGUGUCAGCAUAUUCUGAUGCUCUUUCUGUCUACCGGGAUGCUCUGUCUGCUUACACUCAGUGGUGCAAUGAUGAUGCUCGAGUUGCUGCCGUUCUCACUGCGAGUGUCCUCCCUCAGUUUGCUUCGGAGUUCAUGGGCCUCAGCACUGUUGCAGCAAUGUGGUCCUAUCUUUGUCAGCGCUAUCAGCCCUCUGGUGAUGCCCUCUACCUUUCUGUGGUGCGUCAGGAGCAUGCUCUUCAGCAGGGUGACUCGUCUGUGGAUGAGUUCUACUCGCAGUGCUCUGCCAUCUGGCGUCAGCUUGACUCACUGCGGACAGUUGUUUGUGGCACUUGCCGUUGCUAUCAGACUACGCGGUCUGACUUGGAGUUUCAGAGGGUUCAUGAGUUCUUAUCUCGCCUCCGAUCUGAGUUUGAGCCUCGUCGUGCUCACCUGCUUGCUCGUGGUCGUGUUCCUAUCUCAGAGGUGCUUGCCGAGCUUCGUACCGAGGAGACCCGUCUUCGCUCUGCAGGGUUACUUGUGGUUCCUUCAGUGUUGGCCGCCCGAGCUCCUGUGUCCUCUGCUCGCCUCACCGCUCCACCACUUCUGCCUACUCCUUCAGGGGGGGUGACUCGCUCUCCAUAUGCUGAGAAGAGUACGUCGCGCCGUGACACCUUCUGUGGUUAUUGCUCUCGGUCAGGUCACCCAGAGUCUGACUGUCGCCAGAAGAAGCGAGACUAG
rnacentral:rRNA from 1 species